rfam:Geodermatophilus sp. Leaf369 contig_3, whole genome shotgun sequence.
CCCGGUCCUCGGUGGUGGCCCCCGGGACGCAGCGGACGUCCGGCGCACGACGCGCCGGGCCUCCCGACCGCGCGACCCGAGGGCUUCGAUCGAAGACCGGU